rnacentral:rRNA from 1 species
UACGUAGGGGGCAAGCGUUGUCCGGAUUCAUUGGGCGUAAAGCGCGCGCAGGCGGCUCCGAGAGCCCGGCGUGAAAGCCCCCGGCUCAACCGGGGGAGGUCGUCGGGGACCUUGGGGCUAGAGGCCGGUAGGGGCGAGCGGAAUUCCCGGUGUAGUGGUGGAAUGCGUAGAGAUCGGGAGGAACACCAGUGGCGAAGGCGGACUCGCUGGACCGGUCCUGGACGCUCAGGCGCGAAAGCGUGGGGAGCGAUCCGG